GAGGUCAAAAUAUCAACCUUAACAGGAGUUUGGAGGAAGUUGAUUCCAACUUUCAUGGAUGACUUAGAGGGGUUCAAGACAUCAGUGGAGGAAGUAACUGCAGAUGUGGCAGAAAUAGUAAGAGAACUAGAAUUAUAAGUAGAGCCUGAAAACAUGACUGAAUUGCUGCAAUUGCAUGAUAAAACCUUAACAGAUGUGGAGUUGCUUCUUAUAGAUGAACAAAGAAAUUGGUUUCCUUUCUUUUCUAAAAACUUUUU